UACGUAGGGGGCAAGCGUUGUCCGGAUUUAUUGGGCGUAAAGGGCGCGUAGGCGGCCCGCACAAGUCUGCGGUGAAAACCCCCGGCUUAACCGGGGGCCGGCCGUGGAAACUGUCGGGCUAGAGGCCGGGAGAGGGCAGCGGAAUUCCCGGUGUAGCGGUGAAAUGCGUAGAGAUCGGGAGGAACACCGGCGGCGAAGGCGGCUGCCUGGACCGGCCCUGACGCUGAGGCGCGAAAGCUAGGGGAGCAAACAGG
rnacentral:rRNA from 1 species